rnacentral:rRNA from 1 species
UACGAAGGGGGCUAGCGUUGUUCGGAAUUACUGGGCGUAAAGCGCGCGCAGGCGGCUCUUCAAGUCAGGGGUGAAAGCCCAGAGCUCAACUCUGGAACUGCCUUUUGAGACUGAAGAGCUUGAGUACGGGAGAGGUGAGUGGAAUUCCCAGUGUAGAGGUGAAAUUCGUAGAUAUUGGGAAGAACACCGGUGGCGAAGGCGGCUCACUGGCUCAUUACUGACGCUCAGGCGCGAUAGCGUGGGGAUCAAACAGG